GGGGAAUAUUGGACAAUGGGCGCAAGCCUGAUCCAGCCAUGCCGCGUGAGUGAAGAAGGCCUUCGGGUUGUAAAGCUCUUUUACCAGGGACGAUAAUGACGGUACCUGGAGAAUAAGCCCCGGCAAACUUCGUGCCAGCAGCCGCGGUAAUACGAAGGGGGCUAGCGUUGUUCGGAAUUACUGGGCGUAAAGCGCACGUAGGCGGAUUGUUAAGUCAGAGGUGAAAUCCCGGAGCUCAACUUCGGAACUGCCUUUGAUACUGGCAAUCUAGAGUCCGGAAGAGGUUAGUGGAAUUCCCAGUGUAGAGGUGAAAUUCGUAGAUAUUGGGAAGAACACCAGUAGGCGAAGGCGGCUAACUGGUCCGGUACUGACGCUGAGGUGCGAAAGCGUGGGGAGCAAACAG
rnacentral:rRNA from 1 species